GACAGAGGUCCCAAGCGUUAGGCGGAAUCACUGGGCUUAAAGCGUGUGUAGGCGGAUGCCUAAGUACCUUGUGAAAUCCCACGGCUCACCCGUGGAACUGCUUGGUAUACUGGGUGUCUUGAGCCACUUAGGGGCUACCGGAACAAAUGGUGGAGCGGUGAAAUGCGUAGAUAUCAGGAAGAACACCUAUGGCGAAAGCAGCUCUCUGGGACGGUACUGACGCUGAGACGCGAAAGCGUGGGGAGCGAACAGG
rnacentral:rRNA from 1 species